CCGCAAAGUGCAGGCAGAAGAUACUCCAAAGGACAGAGACUGGUCACGGUCCUGGGAGAGUUCUCUCUGCUUCCUGUUCUGCCAAGAUGUGAAGAGCUACAGUCAUGUGAGCAGGCUGCCUCACGCUCUGCAAGCACAGCCAUGAAACAUAGUCACCUCCUUGACUUCCCUUCCAUGACGGACUGGACCUGCAAACUGGGAGCCAAGCAAGUCCUCCUUGCCCAUGGAAGCCAGAAGAAGGUGCCAGAUUCUCUGGAGUUGUAGUGAGCUGCCAUGCAGAUGCUGUAAUUGAACCCGGAUCCUCGUCAAAGCAGCCGUGCUCUUAACUGCUGAGCCAUCUCGCUAGCCUCUGAAGCUUCUAUUUAAAGGCCUAGGAGAUGGUCUUUGGGCAACUGGGGUGGUAUGAACUUGGGCUUCCUUAGAAGCAUCAAAGAGCUGUUGUCACUGCUGUUAGAUGGACUGUUAGAUGUUAGACGUCAUGACAGGCUGUGCCUCUUCAAAUCAUAAAUCAUACAGCCUUCUUG
rnacentral:lncRNA from 1 species